GUAGGUGGCAAGCGUUGUCCGGAAUUAUUGGGCGUAAAGCGCGCGCAGGCGGUUCUUUAAGUCUGAUGUGAAAGCCCACGGCUCAACCGUGGAGGGUCAUUGGAAACUGGGAGAACUUGAGUACAGAAGAGGAAAGCGGAAUUCCACGUGUAGCGGUGAAAUGCGUAGAGAUGUGGAGGAACACCAGUGGCGAAGGCGGCUUUCUGGUCUGUAACUGACGCUGAGGCGCGAAAGCGUGGGGAGCAAACAGGAUUAGAUACCCUGGUAGUCCACGCCGUAAACGAUGAGUGCUAAGUGUUAGGGGGUUUCCGCCCCCUUAGUGCUGCAGCUAACGCAUUAAGCACUCCGCCUGGGAUACGGCCGCAAGGCUG
rnacentral:rRNA from 1 species